rnacentral:rRNA from 1 species
ACGGGAGGCAGCAGUGGGGAAUAUUGCACAAUGGGCGAAAGCCUGAUGCAGCGACGCCGCGUGAGUGAUGAAGUACUUCGGUAUGUAAAGCUCUAUCAGCAGGGAAGAUAAUGACGGUACCUGACUAAGAAGCACCGGCUAAAUACGUGCCAGCAGCCGCGGUAAUACGUAUGGUGCAAGCGUUAUCCGGAUUUACUGGGUGUAAAGGGAGCGCAGGCGGUACGGCGAGUCUGAUGUGAAAGCCCGGGGCUCAACCCCGGUACUGCAUUGGAAACUGUCGAACUAGAGUGUCGGAGGGGUAAGUGGAAUUCCUAGUGUAGCGGUGAAAUGCGUAGGUAUUAGGAGGAACACCAGUGGCGAAGGCGGCUUACUGGACGAUAACUGACGCUGAGGCUCGAAAGCGUGGGGAGCAAACAGGAUUAGAUACCCUGGUA